UCAAGGGCUUGAACUUGAAGUGCAUGCCUAACGCCGAUCCGCCAUUGAGUGGAAUGCCAUCAUGCCAUCAUGUUUGUGUCAGAAGUGGAGAAUUCAGAGAAGAAAACAGAAGAAGUUCAGAGGACAGCGAAGCGUUUACCGCGCCAUGGGGGGCUCUCGCCGUCUCCGGCCUUGCUGGUAGCCGUCGUGGCGACCCCGGUAUACCUUGGAGUACAGCUCGGCGCGGCGAACGUCAUGAGCGAGCGCGCGCCGCCGCCGCCGCAGCAGCAGCAGCAGCACGUAGCGGCGAGAGAAGAAGGGAAGCCGCGUCGGCGCCGUCGAUGAUGUCGGCGUCGAGCACGGAAUUUUUUUUAUUUUUAAUUUUUUUUAUUAAAAGUUUUACAAAAAUAAUUUUUCAUUUUGAAAAUUGACAGAAGUGGU
rnacentral:lncRNA from 1 species